rnacentral:rRNA from 1 species
UUGGACUUCUGAUGUGGAGGGACGGUCCGCCUCACGGNGAGGGACUGAUUCUCUGCGUCUUCCUCUCGNAGUCUUUGGGNGCACUUAUUUGGGGGGCGCGGAAUUCGGGACUUUUACUUUGAAAAAAUCAGAGUGUUCAUAGCAGGCGUUUGCUUGAAUACAUUAGCAUGGAAUAAUAGAAUAGGACUUUGGUUCUAUUUUGUUGGUUUCUAAGGACCGAAGUAAUGAUUAAUAGGGAUAGUUGGGGGCAUUCAUAUUUAAUUGUCAGAGGUGAAAUUCUUGGAUUUAUGAAAGAUGAACUUCUGCGAAAGCAUUUGCCAAGGAUGUUUUCAUUAAUCAAGAACGAAAGUUAGGGGAUCGAAGAUGAUCAGAUACCGUCGUAGUCUUAACCAUAAACUAUGCCGACUAGGGAUUGGUCAGGUUGAUUUUCUAACCUGAUCAGCACCUUAUGAGAAAUCAAAGUCUUUGGGUUCCGGGGGGAGUAUGGUCGCAAGGCUGAAACUUAAAGGAAUUGACGGAAGGGCACCACCAGGAGUGGAGCCUGCGGCUUAAUUUGACUCAACACGGGAAAACUUACCAGGUCCAGACAUAGUAAGGAUUGACAGAUUGAUAGCUCUUU